UCAAAGACUGUGUCUGCCAAUUUUGAAGACUGUUCGACUAAUGCCAAUUAAAGACUACAAUUACAUACAGUAGUUGCCUAAAUAGGUAUUGCCAAAAUUUAGCGGAAGUUUCAAUUAAGUAGUAAAGUCACUCACAGUUAUGGCGCGUAAUUUCGAAUAUUCACUUGGCGUAAAUGAAUUCAAAUCGAAGGAUCAUCGUCUAUGGCAGGCUUUAAUCGGUGAAUUUUUAGGAAAUUUAAUUCUAAACUUCUUUGCAUGCGGUGCAUGCACACAACCAGAAGAUGGCACAUUUAAGGCAUUAGCAUUUGGUUUGGGUGUUUUUAUGGCCAUCACUAUUGUUGGACACCUUAGUGGUGGUCAUGUUAACCCAGCUGUUACCAUGGGCAUGUUAGUAGCUGGUCGCAUUAGUCUAGUGAGAGCUGUAUUAUAUAUCAUAUUCCAGUGUUUGGGUGCUAUAGCAGGCACUGCAGCUGUUAGAACCCUCCUCGAUGAGGCUUACUAUAACGGUUUAGGUCAUACAACACUUGCAGAAAAUCUAACUGAACUACAAGGAGUUGGUAUUGAGUUCUUUUUAGGUUUAGUUUUGGUGCUUACAGUUUUUGGAGCAUGCGAUUCAAAUAAACCAGACUCUCGUUUCACUGCUCCACUCGCUAUUGGCAUGUCGGUUACCCUUGGACAUUUGGGAACAAUACGUUAUACUGGUGCCAGCAUGAAUCCUGCCAGAACAUUUGGUACUGCUUUUGUUACCGAUAUUUGGGAAUCUCAUUGGAUUUACUGGGUUGGUCCAAUUGUUGGCGGUAUUGCUGCUGCUCUUAUAUACACACAAAUUUUAGAAACGCCAGCUCCACCAAAAAUAAGUGAGGCAUCAGAGAAAUACAGGACUCAUGCCGAUGAACGUGAGGUGAGAUUUAAAUACUCAUGGGAUGAUAGCCUCUUUUACUGAACACAUUCCCAAAACACAAAAGUUUAAUACUUUCAAUUUAAACUUUUGUUGUUAUGCACGCACACAUUUGUACAAAAUUAUCAAAACACUUACACACACAAAAUAUUUUAGUCUAUUAAACGUGUAAUCGUGUCUUUCUUAAAAUACAGAUGAAGAAAUUGGAGAGCGGACAUGAAUACGCUUAAACUAAGCACAAGCCUUAAAUUUGUGAUAAAAAUCAGAACAUCACAUAUCUGCAGUGUCAGCCAUCUAAGUUUACCGGACUUCCAACUGUUGGAAAAUUGCACCAUCCCAUGAUAAUGAUGUUGCCCCUUCGCAGGAUCAUUUACUAGUUCGAUUUUUGUCAUUAUUUUGUAUUUAUGUUUUUGUUAAAAUUAUAAUGCAUUUAGAUUUGUUAAUUAAAAUUUAUUGUU